GUCCACGCCCUAAACUAUGAUCACUCUAUGUUGGCGAUACACAGUCAGCGUCUAAGGGAAACCAUUAAGUGAUCCACCUGGGGAGUACGACCGCAAGGUUGAAACUCAAAGGAAUUGACGGGGGCCCGCACAAGCGGAGGAGCAUGUGGUUUAAUUCGAUGAUACGCGAGGAACCUUACCUGGGCUUGAAAGUUAGUGAAUCUCGCAGAAACGCGAGAGACCGAAAGGACACGAAACUAGGUGCUGCAUGGCUGUCGU
rnacentral:rRNA from 1 species